UACGGAGGUGGCAAGCGUUGUUCGGAAUUACUGGGCGUAAAGGGCGCGUAGGCGGUUCGGUAAGUCCUGUGUGAAAUCCCUCGGCUCAACUGAGGAACUGCACGGGAGACUGCCGGGCUUGAGUUCGGGAGAGGGAAGCGGAAUUCCGGGUGUAGCGGUGAAAUGCGUAGAUAUCCGGAGGAACACCGGUGGCGAAGGCGGCUUCCUGGACCGACACUGACGCUGAGGCGCGAAAGCUAGGGGAGCAAACGGG
rnacentral:rRNA from 1 species